rnacentral:rRNA from 1 species
AGAUUGAACGCUGGCGGCAUGCCUUACACAUGCAAGUCGAACGGCAGCACGGGAGCAAUCCUGGUGGCGAGUGGCGAACGGGUGAGUAAUACAUCGGAACGUGCCCAAUCGUGGGGGAUAACGCAGCGAAAGCUGUGCUAAUACCGCAUAAGAUCUACGGAUGAAAGCAGGGGAUCGCAAGACCUUGCGCGAAUGGAGCGGCCGAUGGCAGAUUAGGUAGUUGGUGAGGUAAAGGCUCACCAAGCCUUCGAUCUGUAGCUGGUCUGAGAGGACGACCAGCCACACUGGGACUGAGACACGGCCCAGACU